GACGAACGCUGGCGGCGUGCCUAAUACAUGCAAGUCGAGCGAACAGACGAGGAGCUUGCUGGUCUGACGUUAGCGGCGGACGGGAGUGUAACACGUGUAAAACGUACUUAUAUGACUGGUAUAAUCUCGGGACACGGGAGCUAAUACCGUAUAAGAUACUGCAGCGCAUGGUGCAAUGGAGAAAGUCGGUGUUUCGGUAACUUAUAGAUGCAUCUGCGCCGCAUGAGGUAGUUGGUACGGUAACGGCUUACGAAGGGGAGGAGGCGUAGCCGACAGGAGAGGGUGGUCGGCCACACUGGGACGGGGACACGGUCCAGAGGCCUACGGGAGGCAGCAGUAGGGAAUCGGCCGCCAUGGGCGAGAACCUGACGGAACAACGCCGAGUGAGUAAUGAAGAUCUUCGGAUCGUAAAACACUGUUAUUGGGGUGGAACAAAUGUGUGCGUAACAAGGCGCGUCUGGACGGUAACUGAUCAAAGAACCACGGCUAACUACGUG
rnacentral:rRNA from 1 species